rnacentral:rRNA from 1 species
AUGGGGAAUAUUCCGCAAUGGACGAAAGUCUGACGGAGCAACGCCGCGUGAGUGAUGAAGGUUUUCGGACUGUAAAGCUCUGUUGUUUAGGACGAAAGUGCCUGUUGCAAAUAGUUACAGGUAUUGACGGUACUGAACGAGGAAGCCACGGCUAACUACGUGCCAGCAGCCGCGGUAAUACGUAGGUGGCAAGCGUUGUCCGGAAUUAUUGGGCGUAAAGAGCAUGUAGGCGGGAAUCUAAGUCUGUUGUGAAAAUGCGGGGCUCAACCCCGUAUUGCGAUGGAAACUGGGUUUCUUGAGUGCAGGAGAGGAAAGGGGAAUUCCCAGUGUAGCGGUGAAAUGCGUAGAUAUUGGGAGGAACACCAGUGGCGAAGGCGCCUUUCUGGACUGUGUCUGACGCUGAGAUGUGAAAGCCAGGGUAGCGAACGGGAUUAGAUACCCUGGUAGUCC